GACGAACGCUGGCGGCGUGCUUAACACAUGCAAGUCGAACGGAAAGGCCCUGCUUUUGUGGGGUGCUCGAGUGGCGAACGGGUGAGUAACACGUGAGUAACCUGCCCUUGACUUUGGGAUAACUUCAGGAAACUGGGGCUAAUACCGGAUAGGAGCUCCUGCUGCAUGGUGGGGGUUGGAAAGUUUCGGCGGUUGGGGAUGGACUCGCGGCUUAUCAGCUUGUUGGUUGGGUAGUGGCUUACCAAGGCUUUGACGGGUAGCCGGCCUGAGAGGGUGACCGGCCACAUUGGGACUGAGAUACGGCCAAGACUACUACGGGAGGCAGCAGUGGGGAAUAUUGCACAAUGGGCGGAAGCCUGAUGAAGCAACGCCGCGUGAGGGAUGACGGCCUUCGGGUUGUAAACCGCUUUCGCCUGUGACGAAGCGUGAGUGACGGUAAUGGGUAAAGAAGCACCGGCUAACUACGUG
rnacentral:rRNA from 1 species